UGCCAGCCGCCGCGGUAAUACAGAGGGUGCAAGCGUUAAUCGGAAUUACUGGGCGUAAAGGGUGCGUAGGUGGUUUGAUAAGUCAGGUGUGAAAUCCCAGAGCUUAACUUUGGAAUGGCGCUUGAAACUGUCAGACUAGAGUACUGUAGAGGGUAGUGGAAUACCGAGUGUAGAGGUGAAAUUCGUAGAUAUUCGGUGGAACACCAGUGGCGAAGGCGACUAACUGGACUGAUACUGACGCUGAGGUGCGAAAGUGUGGGGAGCAAACAGGAUUAGAUA
rnacentral:rRNA from 1 species